UACGUAGGUGACAAGCGUUGUCCGGAUUUACUGGGCGUAAAGAGCGCGCAGGCGGUCGAUCAAGUCGAGUGUGAAAGCCCCCGGCUCAACUGGGGAGGGUCAUUCGAUACUGAUCGACUCGAAGGCAGGAGAGGGUAGUGGAAUUCCCGGUGUAGUGGUGAAAUGCGUAGAUAUCGGGAGGAACACCAGUGGCGAAGGCGAGUCCCUGGACAACUCCUGACACUGAGGCACGAAAGCUAGGGGAGCAAACAGG
rnacentral:rRNA from 1 species